AAGGAGAAAAGAAAAGGGGAAAGGGGGAAGAAGAAAAGAAGGGAAAGAGGGAGAAGAAGUUAAGAAGGGGGAAAAGGGGAGAAAUGAAAGAGAAAAGAACGAGAAAAGCAGAAAGGAAGUAGAAAGGAAAAAGAGUAAAAAGGAGAAAAGAAGGAAAAAGAAGGAGAAAAGGAAAAGAGGGGUAGGGAGAAAGACUUGGAAGGAGAAGAAGGAGGACGCUCCCGAGCUCCUUCUCCCCAGGGCGGCAGCGCCGAGCAGGAUCUGACCCAGUCUCCUUUCCUCUCACUUCUCUCCCCCCCAAGUGAAGCUUCGGACGUUUUAACUUCGAUUUUGUUAAUUAGUCGAAUCAUUAAGGGCCGGGAAGAGCGGGCCGGGGGAGGCGGCAUGCAGCGAGAGGGGAGGCUUCAUGCCAUGGCAGGGGUCUCAACAGCACCCGAUGGCACCCACAGAAGCUGCCUUUUCCAAGCACAUCCAUACCACCAUGGAGUAACAGCUUUGCUGAAGCCAUCCCAGCCCAAGCAGCACCACAGCAGCAGAUUAAUGAAUAUGUGAAUCACAGCUGAGGAGUGCCACUCUCACUGACUUCAUUAUGCAGAAGGUAGUAGGAAACAAAAAGACACGUGUGCUAACUCAUGGGCAGAAGUGCAGCACCAAUUCCAUGCCGCAGGCCAUGCUCUGGCUGACUCUACAUCUGCUCCCCAAGAAGUCAACACAGAUCACGGGCAUCUGAGGCUGCAGAGAGAUGGGGAUGCUGCAUGCACCAGAAGUGAUGUGGAAAAGGAGUUUGGAGAUUUGACAUCCUCCAGACAGGGCAGGUGCAGGGCUGCUAGAGAUGCUGUGUGCCCUCACCAAUGGGAGAAUCAGUGUCCUAUCUGCAUUUGCUCGAUGACAUGCAAAAUGUAAAAGAGCCCAGUUCCAUAUUUCCCAUCCUUCUCAGCAGGACAGUAGGAGAAAGCUGCACUCAGGAAAAGGGCGUGGAGAAUUCCUGGAGAAUUUCUUCCCUGUCACCUAAAUCUUCUCAGAAGACUUAGCUCAUGAGGAAGUUCUUUUUUCAGGUCGCAAGAAGAUAACCAAAACAGCCAAGCGAACCAAGUUCUGUGUCUGUAAGCAUCCCUGCUGUGUGGCUGCGUGGCAGCGCUCCGCUCCUUGGGUGCACAGCACAAUCUGGGGUGCCACAGUGAGUGGCGGGGCCAUCCCAAGCCCGUGCCAAGCACCUUCCUGCUGUGCCAAACCAUCACAGCUUCUGUGUAAAUUCAUUACACCAAGCACACAGCAGCUGUUUAAUUGCAGAGAAUUUAGGACAGGAAGUGAAGAAUAAAUCUGCAUCCAAUUGAAUGUGCA
rnacentral:lncRNA from 1 species